CCUACGGGUGGCAGCAGUGGGGAAUUUUGCGCAAUGGGGGCAACCCUGACGCAGCAACGCCGCGUGAGUGAUGAAGGCCUUCGGGUCGUAAAGCUCUGUCAGAGGGGAAGAAAUGCAGGUGGUGAACAACCAUUCUGUUUGACGGUACCCUCAAAGGAAGCACCGGCUAACUCCGUGCCAGCAGCCGCGGUAAUACGGAGGGGGCGAGCGUUGUUCGGCAUUAUUGGGCGUAAAGCGCGUGUAGGCGGUUUGUUAAGUCUGAGGUGAAAGCCCCGGGCUCAACCUGGGAAGUGCAGUGGAGACUGGCAGACUUGAGUACGGGAGAGGAGAGUGGAAUUCCCGGUGUAGGAGUAAAAUCCGUAGAUAUUGGGAGGAACACCGGUGGCGAAGGCGGCUCUCUGGCCCGAUACUGACGCUGAGGCGCGAAAGCGUGGGGAGCAAACAGGAUUAGAUACCCCUGUAGU
rnacentral:rRNA from 1 species